rnacentral:rRNA from 1 species
GUGUCAGCCGCCGCGGUAAUACGGAGGGGGCUAGCGUUGUUCGGAAUUACUGGGCGUAAAGCGCACGCAGGCGGUGCGGUCAGUUGGAUGUGAAAUCCCAGGGCUCAACCCUGGAAUUGCAUUCGAUACUGCCGCGCUGGAGGACGGAAGAGGAGAGUGGAAUUCCCAGUGUAGAGGUGAAAUUCGUAGAUAUUGGGAAGAACACCAGUGGCGAAGGCGGCUCUCUGGUCCGUUUCUGACGCUCAUGUGCGAAAGCGUGGGGAGCAAACAGGAUUAGAUACCCUGGUAGUCCACGCCGUAAACGAUGUCAGCUAGACGUUGGGGAGCAUGCUCUUCAGUGUCGCAGCUAACGCAUUAAGCUGACCGCCUGGGGAGUACGGUCGCAAGAUUAAAACUUAAAUGAAUUGACGGGG